rnacentral:rRNA from 1 species
CAGCAGCCACGGGAAUACGUAGGGUGCAAGCGUUAAUCGGAAUUACUGGGCGUAAAGCGUGCGCAGGCGGUUAUAUAAGACAGAUGUGAAAUCCCCGGGCUCAACCUGUGAACUGCAUUUGUGACUGUAUAGCUAGAGUACGGCAGAGGGGGAUGGAAUUCCGCGUGUAGCAGUGAAAUGCGUAGAUAUGCGGAGGAACACCGAUGGCGAAGGCAAUCCCCUGGGCCUGUACUGACGCUCAUGCACGAAAGCGUGGGGAGCAAACAGGAUUAGAUACCCGCGUAGUCCCUGUCUCUUAUAU